CGCGUAGGCGGCGUGACAAGUCACUUGUGAAAUCUCUGGGCUUAACCCAGAACGGCCAAGUGAAACUGUUGUGCUAGAGUGCAGAAGGGGCAAUCGGAAUUCUCGGUGUAGCGGUGAAAUGCGUAGAUAUCGAGAGGAACACCAGAGGUGAAGACGGGUUGCUGGGCUGACACUGACGCUGAGGCGCGAAAGCCAGGGAGCAAACG
rnacentral:rRNA from 1 species